UGGACCAGUGAUGGUGACUGGUGUCACAGGAGUCACAGGCAGUGAAAAUAUGUGUCUGGAGCUCUGAGGUCCAG